rnacentral:rRNA from 1 species
AUUGAACGCUGGCGGUAUGCUUAACACAUGCAAGUCGAACGGUAACAGGCCUUCGGGCGCUGACGAGUGGCGGACGGGUGAGUAACGCGUAGGAAUCUGCCUCAUAGUGGGGGACAACGUGUGGAAACGCACGCUAAUACCGCAUACGCCCUACGGGGGAAAGCGGGGGACCUUUGGGCCUCGCGCUAUGAGAUGAGCCUGCGUUAGAUUAGCUAGUUGGUAGGGUAAAGGCCUACCAAGGCGACGAUCUAUAGCUGGUCUGAGAGGACGAUUAGCCACACUGGGACUGAGACACGGCCCAGACGCCUACGGGAGGCAGCAGUGGGGAAUAUUGGACAAUGGGCGCAAGCCUGAUCCAGCAAUACCGCGUGUGUGAAGAAGGCCCUAGGGUUGUAAAGCACUUUCAAUAGGGAGGAAAACCUGCCGGUCAAUACCCGGUAGCUUGACAUUACCUAUAGAAGAAGCACCGGCUAACUCCGUGCCAGCAGCCGCCGUAACAC